rnacentral:rRNA from 1 species
GAUGAACGCUGGCGGCGUGCCUAAUACAUGCAAGUCGAGCGGACGGACGCUAAGCUUGCUUCGCUGAUGUUAGCCGCGGGCGGGUGUGUAACGCGUGUAUCCCCUACCUGUAAGUCUGAUAACACUACGGGAAACCGGCGCUAAUACCGGAGAAGCUUCUGAACCGCGUGGGUCGAUAGUGAGUGACGGCGUUGGUGGCUGGAAUAGCUGGUUACGGGCUGCAUUGGGUGGUAGGUAAGGUCACGGCUUACCAAGGGUACGAUGCGUAACCGAACUGAGGGGGUGAUCGGCCACACUGGAACUGGGACACGGUCCAGACUCCUACGGGAGGCAGCAGUAGGGAAUCUGCCGCAAUGGGCGAAAGCCUGACGGAGCAACGCCGCGUGAGUGAUGAAGGUCUUCGGAUCGUAAAACUCUGUUAUUAGGGAAGAACAGAUGUGUACGUAACUGUGCACAGCUUGACGGUACCGAGUAAGAAAGCACCGGCUAACUACGUG